GACGAACGCUGGCGGCGUGCUUAACACAUGCAAGUCGAACGAAGUGGCGAACGGGUGAGUAACGCGUAAUUAACCUGCCCUUCAGAGGGGGACAACAGUUGGAAACGACUGCUAAUACCGCAUACUGAAGGAGGGGCUUGCGUCUGAUUAGCUAGUUGGAGGGGUAACGGCCCACCAAGGCGAUGAUCAGUAGCCGGUCUGAGAGGAUGAACGACCACAUUGGGAAUGAGAAACGGCCCAGACUCCUACGGGAGGCAGCAGUAGGGAAUCUUCGGCAAUGGACGAAAGUCUGACCGAGCAACGCCGCGUGAGUGAAGAAGGUUUUCGGUUCGUAAAACUCUGUUGUUAGAGAAGCGGUAUCUAACCAGAAAGCCACGGCUAACUACGUGCCAGCCGCCGCGGUAAUUC
rnacentral:rRNA from 1 species